UACGUAGGGUGCAAGCGUUGUCCGGAAUUAUUGGGCGUAAAGAGCUCGUAGGCGGUUUGUCGCGUCGAAUGUGAAAACCCGGGGCUCAACCCCGGGCCUGCAUUCGAUACGGGCAGACUAGAGUUCGGUAGGGGAGUCUGGAAUUCCUGGUGUAGCGGUGAAAUGCGCAGAUAUCAGGAGGAACACCGGUGGCGAAGGCGGGA
rnacentral:rRNA from 1 species